GAUUUCUGGCGAACUGUAGCGGCCCGUGCUCGUAUCGGGCGUGUGUGCCGUGACAUGUUUGUCAUCCUUCCAGAGAGCUGCGUCUACCAUUCAUUUGGCCGGACGUACGCGAUCUGGAUCAAUUACUUUGAAAAAAUUAGAGUGUUUAAAGCAGGCUUAUGCUAUGAAUACAUUAGCAUGGAAUAAUAAUUUAGGACUUUGGUUCUAUUUUGUUGGUUUCUAGGACUGAAGUAAUGAUUGAUAGGGAUAGUUGGGGGUGCUAGUAUUCCGCGGCCAGAGGUGAAAUUCUUGGAUUCGCGGAAGACUAACUACUGCGAAAGCAUU
rnacentral:rRNA from 1 species